CAGCCGCCACGGUAAUACGUAGGUGGCAAGCGUUGUCCGGAAUUAUUGGGCGUAAAGGGCUCGCAGGCGGUUUCUUAAGUCUGAUGUGAAAGCCCCCGGCUCAACCGGGGAGGGUCAUUGGAAACUGGGAAACUUGAGUGCAGAAGAGGAGAGUGGAAUUCCACGUGUAGCGGUGAAAUGCGUAGAGAUGUGGAGGAACACCAGUGGCGAAGGCGACUCUCUGGUCUGUAACUGACGCUGAGGAGCGAAAGCGUGGGGAGCAAACAGGAUUAGAUACCCCCGUAGUCCCUGUCUCUUAUAC
rnacentral:rRNA from 1 species